GUCACCGCUGCCUGCUCUCUGCCCAGCCUCUCUCAGUCCUGGGCGUGGCCAUGAGCUUCAGUAUUCUAGAGCCCUCCCCUCACGCUCUCCCUAAAAACAAAGGCCCCGGAAGGCCAGCUGGACCCUGCAGGGAACAGACCUAGGCUACCCCCUCGGCUCUGAGAUUUGCACUUGAGUGGGGACAUCAGGUUCCUCCAGGGGCAAGAGGCCUGGAGGUCCCAGGGCAGGUGUGAGGGAAGCUCUAUUUCUGGGUUCUCUUCCCGAUGCCCACCCCACCCCCAAUCUGGGCACCAUUUGCUCCCACAGGGAAAGCACUGAGGGGAAUUCCCUUGGGCUCCCGGGGCCAUGAGAAAGUUGGCGCAGGGCAAGGGGGGGCCUUCCCGGGUGGCUCUCUGGGAAGCCACUUGUCCUCACAGCCACCCCUGGGGCUCCUGCAUCCCCCUUCAGGCUUUGGCUCACUGCCCCAGGACCCUGAGAAGGCUCGCAGAGUAGGGGGGAAGCCUGACUCAUCCCCCAACGAGCAGGCACGCAUAGCCCAUCGACCGCACCCCUCCUCCCCCAGGCAAGAGCUGUGAUUUUCCACUUGCGCCAUCUGAUUGCUAUUAGGGCCGGGAAAAGGGGGUUCCUGGUUCCAUACGCCAGCAUGGGGCCUUGGGCAGAUUCCAGGGCAGCCCUGAGGAGCUGCAGGACGGGAAGGAGAUUAACAGCUGGACUCCGGCAGCAGUGCUCUGGCCAACAUGACGUCACCAGGCGGGGAGAUGAGUUCCCAGUGAGGCUGGGGGGGGGGGUUGCUCCUGAGCGGGGGCAUUCCUUCCCGAAGCUUCAUCCCAGCUCUGGCUCAGCCCCUCCCCCCUCCUCCUCCCUGUCCCCCUCCCUCCGGGCCUGGAAUUGGGUUUGGGGCGGGUUCUGCUCCUCAGGCCAUCUCCUCCACAGGCAGGCAGGCAGGCAGGCAGGCAGGCAAGGGCUGUCCUCCACUCUGAGCUCGCCUCUUCCGAGGCUCCGGGCACUGCUCUGUGCUGGCCUGCUGCCCCGGGAUCCACAGCCAGAGGCGGGUGUCGCGCUCCACGAAGGAGAGACCGCGGAAGGUCAGGACAGCUGCAGUCACCUGUUGUGGAAAGACCCGACACCUUAG
rnacentral:lncRNA from 1 species